ACUGCUUCGAGGGGUGACCCUCAGAUUUUUACCAACUAACUUGCUGUUAUAGGUGGCUAGGACACCAGUGAAACCCUUCACCUCUUGUGUUUCUCUUUCUUUUAGGUAAUGCUGGAGGCCUUAAACUGAGACAGGGCACUGUGUCAGCCUUUCUGGACUAAAACUCUGCUGUGUAAAGGCCUGUCUUUAUGGGAGACCAGACUGAUCCAUUCUUGUCUUGUGUAGUGGUCUUAGAGGGGGAAGAUUUAAUCCACUUUACAUAUAUGGUGACAGAAUUCUUAUGUAAUCUAGAAGAAAUGGGAAGAUGCUUACUCCAAGCUAGUCCUCAUUCUGUUUUAUGCAGGAACAAGAGGGUGGGAGUCCGCCUGCAGGUCAGUGUCCUGAUAAUGAUGUCAGCUGAAGAUGAGAGGGCAAAAAGCUGCUCGUGCCUUUGUGGAAACCAGAGUUAG
rnacentral:lncRNA from 1 species